rnacentral:rRNA from 1 species
CCUACUGGAGACAUCAUUGGGGCAUCUUGGACAAUGGGGGAAACCCUGAUCCAGCGACGCCGCGUGAGUUCCUCCUUCUUUCUUUCCUUCCCUCUCUCUCCUCCUUCCCUCCCAUGACGGUACCUGACUAAGAAGCCCCGGCUAACUACGUGCCAGCAGCCGCGGUAAUACGUAGGGGGCAAGCGUUAUCCGGAUUUACUGGGUGUAAAGGGAGCGUAGACGGCAGCGCAAGUCUGGAGUGAAAUGCCGGGGCCCAACCCCGGAACUGCUCUGGAAACUGUGAAGCUGGAGUGCAGGAGAGGUAAGCGGAAUUCCUGGUGUAGCGGUGAAAUGCGUAGAUAUCAGGAGGAACACCGGCGGCGAAGGCGGCUUACUGGACUGUAACUGACGUUGAGGCUCGAAGGCGUGGGGAGCAAACAGGAUUAGAGAACAAGGUAGUC